UGCCGAAAGCUACUUUUGAAACAAAACAAGCUUCAAUCAAAAAAACUAAGAUACCACCUGAGAACCUUGAUAAUACCACAACACAACAACUGUAUGAUGUUAAUUUUGCCAGGAUUCCGAAAGCUAGUUUUGAAGCAAAACCAGUUUCUACCAAUGUAUCCACGAGUGGUACGAAACGUCAGUUUCAUGUUAUACAAGAACCGCGAACACUAUUCUUACGUCCAGCUCCCGGAAAAGCUAUUCAUUUAGAAGGUA